rnacentral:rRNA from 1 species
GUGAAAUUCCGUCGGAAUCUGGGAGGACCAUCUCCUAAGGCUAAAUACUCUCUAGUGACCGAUAGUGAACCAGUACCGUGAGGGAAAGGUGAAAAGCACCCCGGAAGGGGAGUGAAAUAGAACCUGAAACCGUGUGCUUACAAGUAGUCAGAGCCCGUUAAUGGGUGAUGGCGUGCCUUUUGUAGAAUGAACCGGCGAGUUACGAUUUGAUGCAAGGUUAAGCAGUAAAUGUGGAGCCGUAGCGAAAGCGAGUCUGAAUAGGGCGUUUAGUAUUUGGUCGUAGACCCGAAACCAGGUGAUCUACCCUUGGUCAGGUUGAAGUUCAGGUAACACUGAAUGGAGGACCGAACCGACUUACGUUGAAAAGUGAGCGGAUGAACUGAGGGUAGCGGAGAAAUUCCAAUCGAACCUGGAGAUAGCUGGUUCUCUCCGAAAUAGCUUUAGGGCUAGCCUCAAGUGAUGAUUAUUGGAGGUAGAGCACUGUUUGGACGAGGGGCCCCUCUCGGGUUACCGAAUUCAGACAAACUCCGAAUGCCAAUUAAUUUAACUUGGGAGUCAGAACAUGGGUGAUAAGGUCCAUGUUCGAAAGGGAAACAGCCCAGACCACCAGCUAAGGUCCCAAAAUAUAUGUUAAGUGGAAAAGGAUGUGGCGUUGCCCAGACAACUAGGAUGUUGGCUUAGAAGCAGCCAUCAUUUAAAGAGUGCGUAAUAGCUCACUAGUCGAGUGACACUGCGCCGAAAAUGUACCGGGGCUAAACAUAUUACCGAAGCUGUGGAUUGUCCUUUGGACAAUGGUAGGAGAGCGUUCUAAGGGCGUUGAAGCAUGAUCGUAAGGACAUGUGGAGCGCUUAGAAGUGAGAAUGCCGGUGUGAGUAGCGAAAGAUGGGUGAGAAUCCCGUCCACCGAUUGACUAAGGUUUCCAGAGGAAGGCUCGUCCGCUCUGGGUUAGUCGGGUCCUAAGCUGAGGCCGACAGGCGUAGGCGAUGGAUAACAGGUUGAUAUUCCUGUACCACCUAUAAUCGUUUUAAUCGAUGGGGGGACGCAGUAGGAUAGGCGAAGCGUGCGAUUGGAUUGCACGUCUAAGCAGUAAGGCUGAGUAUUAGGCAAAUCCGGUACUCGUUAAGGCUGAGCUGUGAUGGGGAGAAGACAUUGUGUCUUCGAGUCGUUGAUUUCACACUGCCGAGAAAAGCCUCUAGAUAGAAAAUAGGUGCCCGUACCGCAAACCGACACAGGUAGUCAAGAUGAGAAUUCUAAGGUGAGCGAGCGAACUCUCGUUAAGGAACUCGGCAAAAUGACCCCGUAACUUCGGGAGAAGGGGUGCUCUUUAGGGUUAACGCCCAGAAGAGCCGCAGUGAAUAGGCCCAAGCGACUGUUUAUCAAAAACACAGGUCUCUGCUAAACCGUAAGGUGAUGUAUAGGGGCUGACGCCUGCCCGGUGCUGGAAGGUUAAGAGGAGUGGUUAGCUUCUGCGAAGCUACGAAUCGAAGCCCCAGUAAACGGCGGCCGUAACUAUAACGGUCCUAAGGUAGCGAAAUUCCUUGUCGGGUAAGUUCCGACCCGCACGAAAGGCGUAACGAUUUGGGCACUGUCUCAACGAGAGACUCGGUGAAAUCAUAGUACCUGUGAAGAUGCAGGUUACCCGCGACAGGACGGAAAGACCCCGUGGAGCUUUACUGUAGCCUGAUAUUGAAAUUCGGCACAGCUUGUACAGGAUAGGUAGGAGCCUUUGAAACGUGAGCGCUAGCUUACGUGGAGGCGCUGGUGGGAUACUACCCUAGCUGUGUUGGCUUUCUAACCCGCACCACUUAUCGUGGUGGGAGACAGUGUCAGGCGGGCAGUUUGACUGGGGCGGUCGCCUCCUAAAAGGUAACGGAGGCGCUCAAAGGUUCCCUCAGAAUGGUUGGAAAUCAUUCAUAGAGUGUAAAGGCAUAAGGGAGCUUGACUGCGAGACCUACAAGUCGAGCAGGGUCGAAAGACGGACUUAGUGAUCCGGUGGUUCCGCAUGGAAGGGCCAUCGCUCAACGGAUAAAAGCUACCCCGGGGAUAACAGGCUUAUCUCCCCCAAGAGUUCACAUCGACGGGGAGGUUUGGCACCUCGAUGUCGGCUCAUCGCAUCCUGGGGCUGUAGUCGGUCCCAAGGGUUGGGCUGUUCGCCCAUUAAAGCGGUACGCGAGCUGGGUUCAGAACGUCGUGAGACAGUUCGGUCCCUAUCCGUCGUGGGCGUAGGAAAUUUGAGAGGAGCUGUCCUUAGUACGAGAGGACCGGGAUGGACAUACCUCUGGUGUACCAGUUGUCGUGCCAACGGCAUAGCUGGGUAGCUAUGUGUGGACGGGAUAAGUGCUGAAAGCAUCUAAGCAUGAAGCCCCCCUCAAGAUGAGAUUUCCCAACUUCGGUUAUAAGAUCCCUCAAAGAUGAUGAGG